ACUCCUACGGGAGGCAGCAGUGAGGAAUAUUGGACAAUGGGCGCAAGCCUGAUCCAGCCAUGCCGCGUGCAGGAAGACGGCCCUAUGGGUUGUAAACUGCUUUUGUUACGGGAAGAAACCUACCCCUCGUGAUGGUAGCUGACGGUACCGUAAGAAUAAGCACCGGCUAACUCCGUGCCAGCAGCCGCGGUAAUACGGAGGGGUGCAAGCGUUAUCCGGAAUCAUUGGGUUUAAAGGGUCCGUAGGCGGGGUAAAUAAGUCAGUGGUGAAAUGCAGGGGCUCAACUCCGGCACUGCCAUUGAUACUGUUUAUCUUGAAUUAUUGUGAAGUGGUUAGAAUAUGUAGUGUAGCGGUGAAAUGCUUAGAUAUUACAUAGAAUACCGAUUGCGAAGGCAGAUCACUAACAAUAUAUUGACGCUGAUGGACGAAAGCGUAGGUAGCGAACAGGAUUAGAUACCCUGGUAGCGACUGA
rnacentral:rRNA from 1 species